AAAUAUAUAAUUGUGUCUACGCUGUGCUACUGUGCUGUGUAAAAUAAGGUUCCCGGUUUAGACUCCGGAGAUUCCCGAAUAUUUGCAAUUUACACAUUGUUUCAAAAGUUAUGCAUCACCUAAAAUUAUGCUCAUUUUCACAGUUGAUUUUUUCGUGAACAGAUUAAAGGAUUUGUCUAUUUUUU